rnacentral:ncRNA from 1 species
UGAUAGCUGUGAAGCGUGAGGUUGCUGCAGGAAGCUGCAGGUUUUCCGUGGAGCGAAUGUCAAGUUAUAAAACUGGCGACAA